GCGCACGCUGGCGGCAGGCCUAACACAUGCAAGUCGAACGAACUCUUCGGAGUUAGUGGCGGACGGGUGAGUAACACGUGGGAACGUGCCUUUAGGUUCGGAAUAACUCAGGGAAACUUGUGCUAAUACCGAAUGUGCCCUUCGGGGGAAAGAUUUAUCGCCUUUAGAGCGGCCCGCGUCUGAUUAGCUAGUUGGUGAGGUAAAGGCUCACCAAGGCGACGAUCAGUAGCUGGUCUGAGAGGAUGAUCAGCCACAUUGGGACUGAGACACGGCCCAAACUCCUACGGGAGGCAGCAGUGGGGAAUCUUGCGCAAUGGGCGAAAGCCUGACGCAGCCAUGCCGCGUGAAUGAUGAAGGUCUUAGGAUUGUAAAAUUCUUUCACCGGGGACGAUAAUGACGGUACCCGGAGAAGAAGCCCCGGCUAACUUCGUG
rnacentral:rRNA from 1 species